CAAAAAUACGAAACACACUGUAAACAAACGAACAGACACAGACAAUUUAAAUGUUACAUACGCUGCUCUUCUACACACAGUCAAAAACAUACAAAACAGAGAACGCAGAGAGAAAAAUAGAGCAAAUUGUAUAUCAACACUGUAGCCCAAAAAAAAAAAAACACACACAAACUCACACCAAGAUAGCAGUAAACGUAACACUAAUAGGACAAACUGAACAGUAACCGUCAUUUUGAAAAAUUGCGCCAGUGCGUAGAACGGUACACCGAAUUCCGAUUCUUUAAAGAUAAAAUUGUUUCCGGGUAGUAAUAGAACCGUGAACACCCAAUAACAUCAAUGACGAUUAAUUGUUCAAACAAACAUAUAGACGAAAAACAACAUAAAACUUCGAGUCCUUGAUAAAGGUCCAAUAAGGACCGAAACGUUGGAGAAAGAAACCAUACAGUUGUUUUAAAUUGUUAAAAAAGACUGAAAAGCCAGAAAAUUUUUCCAAAAUCAACCUUACAGUCGAUCUAUCAGUAAAACAUCAACCAUGGCGGGGUUUUACAAUACAAUCAACGACGAAUUCGGACAAGAGACACAAGCGCGCUUCAAACAGUAUGCGGACAACA